GAUGAACGCUGGCGGCGUGCUUAACACAUGCAAGUCGAACGGUGAAGCAGGAGCUUGCUCUCGUGGAUCAGUGGCGAACGGGUGAGUAACACGUGAGCAACCUGCCCCUGACUCUGGAAUAAGCGCUGGAAACGGCGUCUAAUACUGGAUAUGUGAUGUGACCGCAUGGUCUGCAUCUGGAAAGAAUUUCGGUUGGGGAUGGGCUCGCGGCCUAUCAGCUUGUUGGUGAGGUAAUGGCUCACUAAGGCGUCGACGGGUAGCCGGCCUGAGAGGGUGACAGGCCACACUGGGACUGAGACACGGCCCAGACUCCUACGGGAGGCAGCAGUGGGGAAUAGUGCACAAUGGGCGGAAGCCUGAUGCAGCAACGCCGCGUGAGGGAUGACGGCCUUCGGGUUGUAAACCUCUUUUAGCAGGGAAGAAGCGAAAGUGACGGUACCUGCAGAAAAAGCACCGGCUAACUACGUGCCAGCCGCCGCCGUAA
rnacentral:rRNA from 1 species